AGAGGAGAGAACCGAGAGCAUCAGUUCCCCUUGGCAGCUGUGAGAGGUUAGCCUCGGACGAGGAUAAGCGCUGCCUUACAGCGUGUUCAGCUGCUGUGCAAAAAAAAAAGGUUUUUUGGCGGUGCAAAGUCAGAGGGCUGCAUGUGCUCGCGGUGGAAAGAAGUAAAUGCUGCCUCUUUGGCAGCUGGAGAGACAAGAAACCGCUGCUCUUGCAGCAAGGUCAGAGUGCAGUGAAGAAACCAAUCUGCCUUUGCAGCAAAGUCAAGAAACAAAAGAAAUAAAAUAGAGGGCAGUGCUGUCUGCAGCACGGAGGAGAGGAAUCCGGGGGAGUGCAGUGAAGGGGCUUGCGGUAUAAAGAUAAAGAAACAAAAACUGCCUCUUUGGCAGCACCGAGAGCAUCAGUUCCCUUGGGCAGCGAGAAGGACACGGAUAGAAGCAAUCUGGACAGAGGGAACACAGCAAGCAUUCACUCUCUUUCGGUUAAAUCCUUCCAAACUCAUAUUUUAUUUCUGUUUUAAUAAUGUGUAACUAAUUUUAUUUUGGCUAGAGGUUAAUUCAAAGCCAUGAAUAUAUUUGUAAUAUGAAUUGAUUACCUUCAGUUGUGAUUUCUGAGUUGUGAUUUAAUUUGCUUAACUGCUUGAUUGAUAACUUAUUUUUGUAUGUCGAUUAAGAAUGCAUACUUAAUUUACAUGCAUGAAUUUGAUGCUAGAAUAUAAGUGAAUUUCACCUAAUCGUUAUGAACUUAUAUUCACAAGUAGUAAAGGUUGCUAGUCACAAUCACGUUAAGUAAAUUCUUGGCAUAAGUUUCAUGCAAAUCAUAGUAACGAGUGCCUCGUCAAUGCUUAUGUUUUUCAUAGAACUUAAUGAUUCUUGCUUGUAUCUCUAUUAUGCAAUUCAUGUAGGGAACUUGUAGGGAAUGUUUUGGGUUGUCGUAUGCAAUCAUCCAACCCAAUAACUUGUGGAAAAACUGAGGGUUAAUUAGUGCAAUUCACGGUUAAUUUGGAGCGUUGAGAUUUACAAUUUAUUGAAAGAACAACUGAAAAUCAAUUUAGGUUGCAUAUGUGUCAUGUGUGGAGAAGAACCCUCUAGCUAGUUUGUCAUUUAUCAUUUUACCUUAAUUUUAUGUUUUUGUCAAUUCUGUAAUUUAAUUAAGUUUAAUUUACUUUUCAUCAAAACCAAACAUCCAUCCAUUAUUAAAUUAUAUUAUUUAGUUAGUUUUCUUUAUUGUUAGUCUUUUAAUUUAAUUUCCGUCCAUUUCAGUUCCUAGUGUUUAAUUUAAUUGUUUUCAUUAUUUUGAGUCAUUUUAAGUGUGUUUCGAGUUAUUAGAGUUUUUAGCCUAGUUUUGUGUCCUUGAGUCUUAUUUAAUAUUUUUAAAUUAAUUUAGAAUAGAUUAGCAAUCCCUCCUAAUCCCCGGUUUAGAACGAUCCCUACUUACAUACUUUGCUACAACUGUCAAAAGAGGGUUUAAUUUGUGUGUUAACUUAUUUUUCACAUCAAAUUUUGGCGCCGUUGCCGGGGAUUAGCAACUUUGCUAAUCCCUUUAUUUUUGUUUUUGUUUAUGUUUAUAUUGGUGUUUGUGUAUUUUACUUUUGAUAUUUGAUUUAUUUAUUUAUUUUUUUUUUUUUUAUUUGAUUUUAGGUACAAAUGGAGCGAGACAUGGCACUUGCGACCAUUCAAGUUCAAUUGGCACAGCUCACUGCUCAAUUGACUCAUAAUGCCGAACGGACCACAAUGCCAAGUGUCCCUACAUUUGAUGUGCCCUAUGGGCAAGGUUAUCAAAGUCCUCAAUUUUAUGCAAAUGAAGAUGUUUGGGGAUAUCAAGGCCAUAACCAAUCGAGGGGCAACAUUUUUUCCAACGCUUACAAUUCAGAUUGGAGAGGUAAUUCAGAUUAUAUGUGGGAUGAACCUCAACAAUUUCAACAAGGUGGAUAUUGGCAGCAAGACGAGUUCUAUUCAAGACCUAUGCAGCCACCACAGCAUUCCCCACAACAAUUCCAAUCAAAUCAAAGUAUGCCCAUGAAUUAUAAUGAAAUUCUUGAAGGACUAAUUUCUGUAGCGCAGGGUUUACGAAAAGAAGAACAAUUGCCGCCAUCAGAAGAGUUCUAUCAGUGGCCAUAUGAACCGUCACAGCCACCACAACAAUCAACCCAAUUCAAUUCAGGUACGUCCUUGGAUAAUGAUACACUUAAUAAGUUACUCACCUCUUUGAAUCAGGGAGUAGAAAAUCGAAACCAGGAGAUGCAAGACCGAGUCAAAAGAGUGGACGAAUUGGAGAUGCAAGUUGGGCAGAUUGUGGAAUUCAUGGCACAGAUUCGAGAUCAAAGUGAACUUUCCAACUCAAACAUUGCAAAUUCAAAGGCAGAAAGUGAAAUCGAUGAAGCCACCACCUUGGAAGGUGACAUGAAGGAUGAAGCUGUCCCAGAACCAUCCAAACACAGCCCAAACAUGGAUGAAUUGCUGCUGCAAGCAGAAGAGGAAGAGGACGACCUGGGCAGUUUAGAAGAAUUCUUGCUGCAAACUCCUCAAAUCCCUAUGUCAUCUAACUCAGGUGAGGAAAGUCUAAAUUCACUUCAUUCUAACAUUAGUCCACCGAAUGUCCUUUGUCCUUGCAGGUUUUUGAUUCCAAAUAUCAAAGAGAGUGAAAAAGACAUUGUGGAAGCUCUUCCAAAGGUGCAAAGUGAUAUCCCAAUUCUUGGUGCACCAAAACAAGUUCCCGAUGGUAUUGAAAUGUUCAAAGAACCUUGCACACCAAGAAAAGGGAUUCAAGAAAAUGAAGUGGUUGAAGCAUAUCAAGAAUACAUCCAAGAGGCUGUGCAUGAGACAAUCAAGCCCAAAGCAGUUGAGUUUGAUGACACGGGACAAGCCACAACCAUCAUAGUAAACCUGGCCAAGUUCAAAGUCCCGGAAAUGUUCACAGAUGUGGUGUUUGUCAUUGAGUUUGUGUCGGAAAAAGAAAAUAAGCCAUCUUCUCCAAUUUUAAUUUUAAUUUAUACUAACAUGUUUCUUAUUUUGAUGAUUCAGGCACCCACUCUUGAAUUUAAACCAUUGCCGAAUCAUUUCAAGUAUCACCUCCCAUUAAAAGAUAAAUUUCAUGCUUUGGAGCCGAGGGGAGGUUAAAGGAAAGAUUCGUCCGGCUAAAGACGUUAAAUCAAGCGCUUCUUGGGAGGCAACCCAAGCAUUCAACGAAGGGAGACUUUGGAAUCGCUCACCAAAUCAGAUUUGAAUUCUUACACCCUUAUCUUUACUGCUUUCAUUUUGUUUUGUUCAGUUAGUUGUGUUAUUUGGUUGAUUUAUGUGAGUUUGUGUUAUUUAGUUUAAGUGUAGGGGAAGGUUAAACAAAGUCUUUUUACAUUGAUUUACAUAUUUUACAUUGAUUUAAAAAAAAAACAAAAACAAAAAAAAAAAAAAAAAAAACAAAACAAAACAAAACACACCUAAAGAAAAAAAAAAAAAAAAAAAAAAAAAAAUAGAAAUAAACAUUUUUUUACAAUGAUGUGUAAACUAAUAGAAUUCAUUGGUCAGGUGGUGCUUCAGUAGUCGGCGGAGCUUCAGCAGUCGGCGGGGCCACGGAAGGAGGAGGUAUCGGAGGUUGAUCAGUUGGAGCUUCACUACGCGGUGCCGCCCCAGAAGACGAAGGAAGAUGCGGUUGGAACAAACCCACAAACCUCCGAUGAUCAAGUAAAAUUUGACCAUCAGUGUCUUGCAGCUGGUCAAUUUUCCUCUUCAUGUUUGUGGCAUAAUUGUGUGCAAGCUUGUGCAAUUGUUUAUUUUCAUGCUUGAGUCCUCUAAUCUCCUCUUUGAGACUCUGUAUUUCAGCCACCAACGAUUCAACAUGACGGGUUCGGGCAAAUAGGCGUUGGGCCAUGUUGGACACGGAACCGGCACACUGCACGCUAAGAGCCAGAGACUCCUUAACCGCCAAUUCAUCAGAUCGUCUAGCGAGCAGUCUGUUAUCUCUGGGGGUGACAAGGUUCCGGGCCACCACCGCAGCUGUCAUAUCAUUUUUCAUCACCGAAUCCCCCACGGUAAGGGGACCGGUAGGGGAUAUGAAAGAUGGGCGCCAUAUGUUGUCUGGUGAAGGCGGAGCUGCCUCUUCACCAAUGUUCAAGUCAAAACGACGAUCGGAAGGGCCAGACAUUUUCUGAAGGUGGUGAAGAAAGAAGAGAGUCGGACUGAUUAAGAUUUUGGAAGUUUACAGGAGGGAGUGUUUACAAGAGGGAGCUCAAGUGUGUUAUGGAACAAAAUUAACGCCUCUAUAAAAAGAAGAAAUCAAAGAGGCGCUCCUCAGAGAAGCGUCCUCUCGCAAAUCGAAGAGUCGGGGCUCCUUUCUCAAAAACCGGAUUUUUUUUCUCAAAAGAGGCGUUGCAUUUCUUAAAGGCUGGGCUUGCUCAGAAACCACGAGCCGAACCCCGGAUUUCAAAAGAUCAAAUUGUCCAGACGUGUCGUCACUCGUCACAUGCAACUGGCUGCUUUGCGAAAAUCUCGGGCAGUUUGUCGAAGCACCAAUUCAGAAAUCGAAGAGGGAAAUUCAACAGUCAAAGACACGCUAGCUUUCUCAAAAGCUGGGCUUCAACCCACGGGCAAAUCUUCUUUUCCAGAUUUAUCCGCACGUGUCACAUACUACCUCUACAAUCGACGAUGCUCAGAGCUCGAAGCGCCGAUUCCAGAUAUCAAUGAGGAAUCUGCUUUGCGAAAAUUACGGGCAGCUUUGUCAGAAAGCGCGUAAUUUAUACUAUCAUUCAUCCACCGGCUGCCGACAAUGAGUGAGAGAAUAGUUCCGGUUGUGAAGAAAAGCCCUAUAAGUAUCUACCUUCGCCUUUCACAGCAAAGACACACCCUCUUAACACUUCUUCAUCUCCGAAAAUGCAUUCUCAAAGAAUCCUUCUAAGUUACUCCGUGUUCCUCAUUCCCUGGGAUACCCCUGCAAACAACCCAUCCAGAGCAAAAGUAUUUCAUAUCAUAAUGGUUGAAAGCAAGAGUAUCUCAUAUCAUGCAUUCUCCAUGACCUUUUCCUUGUCUUUGUUCUAACCUGCAGGACAUGGAGAAAUUGCUCUCGAGUACUCGUCUUCCACUGCUGAUGUACUUCCAAAGAAGCUGCCACAUCUACCUGAAGAACAGAUAAGGCAAGCGAAAAUGAUACCACCAGCAUGUGGAGACAACGUACAGAAGAAACAAGCAGAGAAGAAUGCAGCUUGCACAAUCAUCCCAGCGGAAUGAGUCCGAGCUGAGGAACUAGAGAAGCUGCCACAUCUGCUUGGAGAACAAAUAAGGAACUGCAACAUCACCAAAGAGCAAAGCUUCGCCGUACAAUAUCAUCAAAUCAUCACUUGCAAGUAAAAAGCUAAGUGUCACCCCGUUCAAAAGGAAAGCUGUGGAAAGUCAACAAGCACGACCAAUGACCACUUAUUAGUUCUAUUCAUUGUCUUUUAUCGUGAUUUUCAAUUUUUCGUUUGCAAUUUUUUUUUUAUAUUUCUUGUGUCACUUAACUGAAUUAUUUCUUUUCUUUGCAGGAACUUUUGGUUAUUUCCACCCUUGAAGUUGAUUGCAGAAUUUUAGCUUGGGGGUCAUCGCUUGAUUUUACUGCAAAUUAGGGAAGUUUUCAGUCCAAUUGUUUUUAUUUUUGUUUCUUAUUAUUUAUUUUAUUUUAUUUUUAUUUGCAUUAUAGUGUUUUCUGACAUUGGGGACAAUGUCAAGUUUAAGUGUGGGGGUAGAAAUCUCUAGAAUUUCAUUUGUUUCUGUGUUGUUACUUUUUUUUGUUUUCUUUAAAAAAUAAAAUAAAAAAUUCGGAAAAUUUAAAAAUCCAAAAAUAUUGUCUUGUUUUCCUUAUUAGAUUUUUGUUAGUUUCCCGACCCAAUGCUAUAAUUAGAUCAAAUUUGAACCAUGAUCAUCAAGAACUUAGUUAACAUAUGUUUUUGUGAAAUUCCUAAUUCUCUUGUUAGUUUUGUACAUGUUUGAUCAUCUUUUGAAAAACCAAAUGCACAUAGCCUUGUUGAUGUGAAACUAAAGCAUGACUUAAAGCUUCAUAUGUGAAUUUAGUGACCAUAUACAUCCUAUGUGAGUUUUUGAGCCUAUUGAAAGUGUGUGCAUUUUUCAUACACUCCUAUUUUUUUUUUUAUGUGUGAUGAACUUAUGUGAGAUACAUCUCUAGAACUUGCGUAACGAUCUUUCGAAAUGUUUGUCAUUGAUUGCAUGAACUUGGAAAUGAUAGAGGCAUUAGGUUUACCACUAUGGCCCAAAUAACCAUGUUUCCCAAAUAAAAAUGAUAUCAUUAGAUUGCCAAUUUGAGCCGUGUAUGUUGAGCCUUUUAUUUCUUAUCACCAGAUAUGUCUACCCUUAUACCUGAAACAUUUUUCCUUACCCUUUCCAAGCGAGCAAUGCGAGAUUGUCUUAUGAGAAACGUUUGUGAAGUACUUUGAAGGUGUUUGGCAAAAGAAUAAGUGUGGGGGUAUUUCAUGUUUGUGUGUAAAAAAAAAAAAAAAAAAAAAAAAGAAAGAUUGUAUACAAAUGAAAUAAAAAGUUGUUCAAUUUUCAGUUUAAGGGUGUGGUUGGAGGUGCUAAAAGAAUAGUUGGAAAUAUUGAGUUCUUAUAAAUCUAAAGAAAAGAAUUGCUUGCAAUGUAGCUUGGAACUUGUGUUUUCCUAUUCUUUCGUUUCAAUAACCCUAUCCCUAAGCCUCAUUACAUCCAAUAAAAGUCCUCUUGAUUUAAGUUUUGCAAUUAUGACUGUGGAGAAGUGAUUUUUAUGCAAGCUUAUGGUAGAUAUUUCACAUUUGAUUCUUUGAGCGAAACACAUUAAAACUAAACACAUAUUUGAUUGAGUGCAUAUCCCGUGAGAAGGUCGCUAGUUUGCAUAUGAUGAUUUUAAAAAUAAAAACUUGAAAUUGCAUUAGCAUGGCUAUCUCACACACUACACUUCAAGGAUGAUUCAAAGAUUACUGCUAAUAUUUGAAUAAGAAAGAUGAACUUGGAUUAGUUCCUUGAUGCUAGCUAUGGUUCUUGUUGAUUUGUGUUCUCGAAUGAAAUUCUAUGAGGGUCACAUAGGGGGAAGCUAAUGUUUUUCUUGUUACUUCUUGUUCUAGUUUUCUUUGUUUUGCUCGAGGACUAGCAAAAGCUAAGUGUGGGGGUAUUUGAUCACUCAUAUAUUUCAUACAUAUAUACCAUCCAUUUCUAUAGUCUUUGUGAUGUUUUUGUGUUAAAAUUGUGGCAGUUUACCUUAUCUUGUGUUAAUGUGUAGUUAAUUUUGUUGUAGGAUCAAUUUUAAGCAAAAAGAAGAAAAUGAAACAGAAAGAAAACAAAAUAAACAAAGGCAGUGGAAAGGAUGAUUACACGAGUAGUGGACAGAAUGUCCACUAAAGAAACGGAAAAAGAAUCCAAAGGAUCCAAGAGAGAGAUGGAAUAGAAAAAUAGAAAGAGGAAGCUGGAGGCGUGAAAAGAAGACUCGGGGGGAAGGUGGAAUGGGAAGAAGACAGCGAGGCUGCCAGGUGGAAAACCAGGAAGAGAACGUGCAGGAAAAAGCAGAGACGCGGGCCGUUGCAGCUGGCAAAGCGUGAAGGAUAGGAGAAGGUGCGGAAAAAGAAUAAAGAAAAGAGAUAAAGGGGGGACGUGGGGAGAAACAAAGCGGCCUUUGCAGCUGGGCAGAGGCGGCCCUUUGGCAGCAGAAGAAACGUCAGGAGAGAGAGUGAGAGAGGCGCUGCAUUUUUGCAGCCUGUACAGAAGCAACGCAGAGGAGAGAACCGAGAGCAUCAGUUCCCCUUGGCAGCUGUGAGAGGUUAGCCUCGGACGAGGAUAAGCGCUGCCUUACAGCGUGUUCAGCUGCUGUGCAAAAAAAAAAGGUUUUUUGGCGGUGCAAAGUCAGAGGGCUGCAUGUGCUCGCGGUGGAAAGAAGUAAAUGCUGCCUCUUUGGCAGCUGGAGAGACAAGAAACCGCUGCUCUUGCAGCAAGGUCAGAGUGCAGUGAAGAAACCAAUCUGCCUUUGCAGCAAAGUCAAGAAACAAAAGAAAUAAAAUAGAGGGCAGUGCUGUCUGCAGCACGGAGGAGAGGAAUCCGGGGGAGUGCAGUGAAGGGGCUUGCGGUAUAAAGAUAAAGAAACAAAAACUGCCUCUUUGGCAGCACCGAGAGCAUCAGUUCCCUUGGGCAGCGAGAAGGACACGGAUAGAAGCAAUCUGGACAGAGGGAACACAGCAAGCAUUCACUCUCUUUCGGUUAAAUCCUUCCAAACUCAUAUUUUAUUUCUGUUUUAAUAAUGUGUAACUAAUUUUAUUUUGGCUAGAGGUUAAUUCAAAGCCAUGAAUAUAUUUGUAAUAUGAAUUGAUU
rnacentral:lncRNA from 1 species